CGGGACAGACCACAGAUCGCCUCCCAAACAUCUACGUUUAGUCAGGAGCCGUUGAGCAGAUGCUUUCAUCCAAAGCUCUGAACCAACCAUAAACUGUAUGAAAUCACAUUUACAUUUAGUCAUUCAGUAGACACUUCAUUUGAAAAAUUAACAAUAAACACGCACUAUUACAUAAAGUCAAGUGCACAAGGGAUAAACCAUCUGUGAUGCAGACUGGCCAACUCCAUGCACCUUCAAAACAACUACAAUAAUUAAAAAUUGAAGUAUGCAAGUUCAAAAAACUGUAAGACCCAAGUGGUCGUUUGAAAGCUAGUAGUCAGAUUCAAGUAGAAGGUUGUAUUUUUCAAUUGUUAGAGAACAAUUCAACCAUGUAGGUUCUCAAUUCAGCACAAUAAAGGUUUUCGCAUCUGUGUGAAGGUUAAAUGUUUCAUAAGUGACUGGGUGUGAGUUGCUGUGUUGAUUGCCUGGUCAGGUAGCAGCUGGGGAUUGUCGUGGCCAGGGUGCAGCUUAGUUGAGUGUUAUUCUGGAUACAUAAAUGUAUUUCAACCACAUUUGUUUUGGUUGUUUAUUAUCACAUCUGGCUCCAGGGCAGUGUAGUGCUCAAAGGUACUUGGUUCGAUCCCCGAUGGCUUACCUGUAGUCAUCCUUGAGGCAACCUAACCCAUACCUGUUCUUUAAUAACAUGUCUGAAUUCAUUGGAGGUGCCUUUGAAUAAAAGUGCCUGCUAAAUGAGAACAGACUGGAUCUUAUAAUGUAUGAUUUGUUAAGUGUUGCUGUGUCUUGUAUUUAUAGUGAUCAGCAGUUCUGAUCACUAUCAGUUCCUGCCAGGUUACACUGCAGACGCCAGACAGUGAGUCAGUGUUGAGGCUGGACUAACUUAAAUCAACAAGAACAAGAAGGAUGAACAGGAUACACAGAUGAAGCGGUUCCUCCAUGUCGCUAAUCAAGAAUCAAUCAUUCCCCUGUCAAUCUGUAGCAGCACCUGGGCAUACUGGGUGCGGUGUAAUAAGGAUUAGGCUGUGUGAUCGAUCUAAAUUGUGUGAUUGUUGGAUGGAAAAAAUAGACAUAGUCCGAUACGUAGAGACGAGGACAGAUAUAAUAUAUAUAUAUAUAUAUAUAUACAUAGAGAGAGAGAGAGAGAGAGAGAGAGAGAGAGAGAGAGAGAGAGAGAGAGAGAGAGAGAGAGAGAGAGAGAGAGAGAGAGAGUUUGAGGGAGGGAGAGAGAGAGAGAGAGAGUAUGUA